rnacentral:rRNA from 1 species
GGGUUAUGGGCGAGCCUGAUGGAGCACGCCGCGUGAGUGAAGAAGGUUUUCGGAUCGUAAAACUCUGUUGUAAGGGAAGAACAAGUACAGUAGUAACUGGCUGUACCUUGACGGUACCUUAUUAGAAAGCCACGGCUAACUACGUGCCAGCAGCCGCGGUAAUACGUAGGUGGCAAGCGUUGUCCGGAAUUAUUGGGCGUAAAGCGCGCGCAGGCGGUCCUUUAAGUCUGAUGUGAAAGCCCACGGCUCAACCGUGGAGGGUCAUUGGAAACUGGGGGACUUGAGUGCAGAAGAGGAAAGUGGAAUUCCAAGUGUAGCGGUGAAAUGCGUAGAGAUUUGGAGGAACACCAGUGGCGAAGGCGACUUUCUGGUCUGUAACUGACGCUGAGGCGCGAAAGCGUGGGGAGCAAACAGGAUUAGAUACCCUGGUAGUCCACGCCGUAAACGAUGAGUGCUAAGUGUUAGGGGGUUUCCGCCCCUUAGUGCUGCAGCUAACGCAUUAAGCACUCCGCCUGGGGAGUACGGUCGCAAGACUGAAACUCAAAGAAAAUUGACGGA